rnacentral:rRNA from 1 species
UACGGAGGGUGCUAGCGUUGUUCGGAAUCACUGGGCGUAAAGGGCUCGUAGGCGGCCAACUAAGUCGGACGUGAAAUCCCUCAGCUUAACUGGGGAACUGCGUCCGAUACUGGAUGGCUUGGAUUUGGGAGAGGGAUGCGGAAUUCCAGGUGUAGCGGUGAAAUGCGUAGAGAUCCGGAGGAAGACCGGUGGCGAAGGCGGCCUGCUGGGCAGUUACUGACACUGAGGCGCGACAGCGUGGGGAGCAACAGG